CCUACGGGAGGCAGCAGUGGGGGAUAUUGCACAAUGGGGGGAACCCUGAUGCAGCGACGCCGCGUGGGUGAAGAAGCGCCUCGGCGCGUAAAGCCCUGUCAGCAGGGAAGAAAAUGACGGUACCUGAAGAAGAAGCCCCGGCUAACUACGUGCCAGCAGCCGCGGUAAUACGUAGGGGGCAAGCGUUAUCCGGAUUUACUGGGUGUAAAGGGAGCGCAGACGGCGAUGCAAGCCAGGAGUGAAAGCCCGGGGCCCAACCCCGGGACUGCUCUUGGAACUGCGUGGCUGGAGUGCAGGAGGGGCAGGCGGAAUUCAUGGUGUAGCGGUGAAAUGCGUAGAUAUCAGGAGGAACACCGGUGGCGAAGGCGACCUGCUGGACUGCAACUGACGUUGAGGCCCGAAAGCGUGGGGAGCGAACAGGAUUAGAUACCCCUGUAGUC
rnacentral:rRNA from 1 species